AGGUAUCAGAAGUGCGAAUGCUGACAUAAGUAACGAUAAAGCGGGUGAAAAGCCCGCUCGCCGGAAGACCAAGGGUUCCUGUCCAACGUUAAUCGGGGCAGGGUGAGUCGACCCCUAAGGCGAGGCCGAAAGGCGUAGUCGAUGGGAAACGGGUUAAUAUUCCCGUACUUGGUGUUACUGCGAAGGGGGGACGGAGAAGGCUAUGUUGGCCGGGCGACGGUUGUCCCGGUUUAAGCGUGUAGGUGUGUGUUCCAGGUAAAUCCGGUUCACUUUAACACUGAGGCGUGACGACGAGGCACUACGGUGCUGAAGCAACAAAUGCCCUGCUUCCAGGAAAAGCCUCUAAGCAUCAGGUAACAUCAAAUCGUACCCCAAACCGACACAGGUGGUCAGGUAGAGAAUACCAAGGCGCUUGAGAGAACUCGGGUGAAGGAACUAGGCAAAAUGGUGCCGUAACUUCGGGAGAAGGCACGCUGACACGUAGGUGAAGUGAUUUACUCAUGGAGCUGAAGUCAGUCGAAGAUACCAGCUGGCUGCAACUGUUUAUUAAAAACACAGCACUGUGCAAACACGAAAGUGGACGUAUACGGUGUGACGCCUGCCCGGUGCCGGAAGGUUAAUUGAUGGGGUCAGCGCAAGCGAAGCUCCUGAUCGAAGCCCCGGUAAACGGCGGCCGUAACUAUAACGGUCCUAAGGUAGCGAAAUUCCUUGUCGGGUAAGUUCCGACCUGCACGAAUGGCGUAAUGAUGGCCAGGCUGUCUCCACCCGAGACUCAGUGAAAUUGAACUCGCUGUGAAGAUGCAGUGUACCCGCGGCAAGACGGAAAGACCCCGUGAACCUUUACUAUAGCUUGACACUGAACAUUGAGCCUUGAUGUGUAGGAUAGGUGGGAGGCUUUGAAGUGUGGACGCCAGUCUGCAUGGAGCCGACCUUGAAAUACCACCCUUUAAUGUUUGAUGUUCUAACGUGGACCCGUUACCCGGGUUGCGGACAGUGUCUGGUGGGUAGUUUGACUGGGGCGGUCUCCUCCUAAAGAGUAACGGAGGAGCACGAAGGUUGGCUAAUCCUGGUCGGACAUCAGGAGGUUAGUGCAAUGGCAUAAGCCAGCUUGACUGCGAGCGUGACGGCGCGAGCAGGUGCGAAAGCAGGUCAUAGUGAUCCGGUGGUUCUGAAUGGAAGGGCCAUCGCUCAACGGAUAAAAGGUACUCCGGGGAUAACAGGCUGAUACCGCCCAAGAGUUCAUAUCGACGGCGGUGUUUGGCACCUCGAUGUCGGCUCAUCACAUCCUGGGGCUGAAGUAGGUCCCAAGGGUAUGGCUGUUCGCCAUUUAAAGUGGUACGCGAGCUGGGUUUAGAACGUCGUGAGACAGUUCGGUCCCUAUCUGCCGUGGGCGCUGGAGAACUGAGGGGGGCUGCUCCUAGUACGAGAGGACCGGAGUGGACGCAUCACUGGUGUUCGGGUUGUCAUGCCAAUGGCACUGCCCGGUAGCUAAAUGCGGAAGAGAUAAGUGCUGAAAGCAUCUAAGCACGAAACUUGCCCCGAGAUGAGUUCUCCCUGAGACUUAGAGUCUCCUGAAGGAACGUUGAAGACGACGACGUUGAUAGGCCGGGUGUGUAAGCGCAGCGAUGCGUUGAGCUAACCGGUACUAAUGAACCGUGAGGCUUAACCUUAC
rnacentral:rRNA from 1 species